GACGAACGCUGGCGGCGUGCUUAACACAUGCAAGUCGAACGGAAAGGCCCUGCUUUUGUGGGGUGCUCGAGUGGCGAACGGGUGAGUAACACGUGAGUAACCUGCCCUUGACUUUGGGAUAACUUCAGGAAACUGGGGCUAAUACCGGAUAGAAGCUCCUGCUGCAUGGUGGGGGUUGGAAAGUUUCGGCGGUUGGGGAUGGACUCGCGGCUUAUCAGCUUGUUGGUGGGGUAGUGGCUUACCAAGGCUUUGACGGGUAGCCGGCCUGAGAGGGUGACCGGCCACAUUGGGACUGAGAUACGGCCCAGACUCCUACGGGAGGCAGCAGUGGGGAAUAUUGCACAAUGGGCGGAAGCCUGAUGCAGCAACGCCGCGUGCGGGAUGACGGCCUUCGGGUUGUAAACCGCUUUCGCCCGUGACGAAGCGUGAGUGACGGUAAUGGGUAAAGAAGCACCGGCUAACUACGUG
rnacentral:rRNA from 1 species